GGGCGAUUAGCUCAGUUGGUUAGAGCGCUGUCUUGACAUGGCAGAGGUCGCUGGUUCAAAUCCAGCAUCGCCCACCA
rnacentral:tRNA from 8 species